GCUGGGUGUGGUGGCGUGUGCCUGUAGUCCCAGCUACUCGGGAAGCUGAGGCAAGAAGAUCACUUGAGCCCAGGAAUUUGAGGCUGCAGUGAGCUGUGAUUGUGCCACUGCAUUCCAGUCUGGGCAACAGAGAGAGACUCUGUCUCUU
rnacentral:SRP_RNA from 1 species